rnacentral:rRNA from 1 species
UACAGAGGUCCCAAGCGUUGUUCGGAUUCACUGGGCGUAAAGGGUGCGUAGGUGGCGAGGUAAGUCGGAUGUGAAAGCUCGGAGCUCAACUCCGAAAUGGCAUUGGAAACUACCUUGCUCGAGGGUUGGAAGGGGGACUGGAAUUCUCGGUGUAGCAGUGAAAUGCGUAGAUAUCGAGAGGAACACCAGUGGCGAAGGCGAGUCCCUGGACAAUACCUGACACUGAGGCACGAAAGCUAGGGGAGCAAACAGG